rnacentral:rRNA from 1 species
UACGUAGGGGGCAAGCGUUGUCCGGAUUUAUUGGGCGUAAAGAGCGUGUAGGCGGCCAGGUAGGUCUGGUGUGAAAACUCGAGGCUUAACCUCGAGAUGUCAUCGGAAACCAUUUGGCUAGAGUCCGGAAGAGGAGAGUGGAAUUCCUGGUGUAGCGGUGAAAUGCGCAGAUAUCAGGAAGAACACCAAUGGCGAAAGCAGCUCUCUGGGACGGUACUGACGCUGAGACGCGAAAAGCGUGGGGGAGCGAACAGG